GAGGACUCCUCGCUUCGGCCUUGGCAUCCACCGGGAGAGACGACCCCCCAGCAACAGUUGGCACAUGCGCAGAGUAUCUCCACCACUCUAGACCCCAGCAACAGUUGGAACAUAGUAUCUCCACCACUCCAUGAACGCGGGAGACAAAAUGUAUAAAAAGGGACAGUUUGUUCUACUCGGGAUGGCAGUUGGUGGAGCACGGACUCCCCUGUCGUCCAGCGCUGUUUUUGCUCAUAUUCUACUUGCUAUAAUUAAUAAAAUUUUAAUUGGAUUACAACCCAUUGUAGUCUCAAUUUAUAACAAUUUUGGUGCCGUGACUCGGAUAAGGAACGGUGGGCUUCUGUCCUCCGGGGAGGCGCCCCGCGGCAAUCCGCGGCCCCACGACUGAUAGCCCACCCUAUCCUUACUGACGAACCUAAAUUCUAGAAUAAUGAGCAAAGGAAAAAAUGGUAAAAUCCCAUAAAAAUUCUGUGCACAGGAGUCCGGACGAAGACGCAGGACGCAAACAGCUGUCCGGACUGCUGAGCGUGGAUGGACUCAUGCCAGUCGCAUUAAAGGCCCCGUGACGAAACCUCAAUGGAAAGUAAUUAGUACUCCAGUUAAAGCUGCAAAGUGGGAAGCCUAUAUAAACAGGCAGAAAGCCCGAAACAGCUGUUCUCCUGAAGAAUUCCCUUGCUGCCGAGAAGAUGGUACACCCCGUGACUCGAAGCAACCGAGUCGACGGGCGAGGCAGAGGAGGAACAAACCGUGGAGAAAAGAAUCAGAACAAUGGGACGCAAAAGCAGCAAUGGCCGAACUUCCCCAGGACUGGUAAAAAUAUACUUAAAUUGGCAAAAGUGACAAACACCCUUUUUCCUGGUAUACCGUUAGUCUUGUUACUGAUAAUAGCCCAGGCAAAAGGAGGAAACCCUCAUGAACCUACGAAUUGGACAAUAACAAACAUACAACAUCCAAAUAAUCCAAUUCAAGCACGGGCUACACCGGGUACAUUUAGUUUUAAUGUGAGUUUGCGCGAUCUAAUUACUGGACACUGUAAAGACAAAGCUGAUCUGUGCAAACCAACCUACAUAUGUCCCGCGUCCAAUCCUGGAAGAGGUUAUUGUAACCUUCCAGGUCACUAUUACUGUGGCUAUUGGGGAUGCGAAACAUGGGCCUCUGAGUGGUCCACAUAUGGAGACGAAUAUCU